rnacentral:rRNA from 1 species
AUGCAAGUCGAGCGGUAGAGAGAAGCUUGCUUCUCUUGAGAGCGGCGGACGGGUGAGUAAUGCCUAGGAAUCUGCCUGGUAGUGGGGGAUAACGUCCGGAAACGGACGCUAAUACCGCAUACGUCCUACGGGAGAAAGCAGGGGACCUUCGGGCCUUGCGCUAUCAGAUGAGCCUAGGUCGGAUUAGCUAGUUGGUGGGGUAAUGGCUCACCAAGGCGACGAUCCGUAACUGGUCUGAGAGGAUGAUCAGUCACACUGGAACUGAGACACGGUCCAGACUCCUACGGGAGGCAGCAGUGGGGAAUAUUGGACAAUGGGCGAAAGCCUGAUCCAGCCAUGCCGCGUGUGUGAAGAAGGUCUUCGGAUUGUAAAGCACUUUAAGUUGGGAGGAAGGGCAGUAAAUUAAUACUUUGCUGUUUUGACGUUACCGACAGAAUAAGCACCGGCUAACUCUGUGCCAGCAGCCGCGGUAAUACAGAGGGUGCAAGCGUUAAUCGGAAUUACUGGGCGUAAAGCGCGCGUAGGUGGUUCGUUAAGUUGGAUGUGAAAUCCCCGGGCUCAACCUGGGAACUGCAUUCAAAACUGACGAGCUAGAGUAUGGUAGAGGGUGGUGGAAUUUCCUGUGUAGCGGUGAAAUGCGUAGAUAUAGGAAGGAACACCAGUGGCGAAGGCGACCACCUGGACUGAUACUGACACUGAGGUGCGAAAGCGUGGGGAGCAAACAGGAUUNNAUACCCUGGUAGUCCACGCCGUAAACGAUGUCAACUAGCCGUUG